GCGCCCGUAGCUCAGCUGGAUAGAGCGCCGGACUUCGAAUCCGUAGGCCGGGGGUUCGAAUCCCUCCGGGCGUACCA
rnacentral:tRNA from 5 species